AUAGUCGUAUACAAUUAUGAGUCUGAAUGUUUCAAUCGAAGACAAUAAGUGUUUACGAAUAUCA
rnacentral:pre_miRNA from 1 species